rnacentral:rRNA from 1 species
AUUGAACGCUGGCGGCAGGCCUAACACAUGCAAGUCGAACGAGUGGCGGACGGGUGAGUAAUGUCUGGGAAACUGCCUGAUGGAGGGGGAUAACUACGGGAAACGGUAGCUAAUACCGCAUAACAUCAGAUGUGCCCAGGUGGGAUUAGCUUGUUGGUGGGGUAACGGCUCACCAAGGCGACGCGCCCUAGCUGGUCUGCGAGGAUGACCAGCCACACUGGAACUGAGACACGGCCCAGACUCCUACGGGAGGCAGCAGUGGGGAAUAUUGCACAAUGGGCGAAAGCCUGAUGCAGCAAUGCCGCGUGUAUGAAGAAGGCGUUCGGGUUGUAAAGUACUUUCAGCGGGGAGGCGUUACCCGAAGAGGAAGCAACGGCUAACUCCGUGCCAGCAGCCGCGGUAAUUC